UACGGGGGGGGCAAGCGUUGUUCGGAAUUACUGGGCGUAAAGGGCGCGUAGGCGGUUGGAUAAGUCAGCUGUGAAAACCACGGGCUUAACUCGUGGCCUGCAGUUGAGACUGUCUGGCUUGAGUGUGGGAGAGGAGAGUGGAAUUCCUGGUGUAGCGGUGAAAUGCGUAGAUAUCAGGAGGAAGACCGGUGGCGAAGGCGGCCUGCUGGGCAGUUACUGACACUGGGGCGCGACAGCGUGGGGAGCAAACAGG
rnacentral:rRNA from 1 species